UGUCUCUUUGUCUGGCUUCUUUAGAGCGGGUGACUGAUUGUCCCUGCCAGCUGGCUAAUAUCAUAAUUAGCAAAGUUGCUACCACAUCUGCAAAGUUUAAUCGAAAAAUUUACCAGUGGUAUGAUGGCAUUGUCACCGCGAUCCUGAGGGAAUCAGAGUCGACUUCUGCUUCAACUGGAAUGGCAAGGCUGUAGAGCUGAGAUGAGAAACUGUAAACUUGCUCAGCCAAAGGAAAUAAUAUGCUCCAGAGAAUCCUCUAAUUCACCGAAAAUGGACUUGGAUAACAUUUGGGUUCUCAUACUACCACAGUCCUCUUGAGAAGGACAGCCAGGAGGCUAAUAAUGAAGGGGCCAGGGAAGGAGGCCAAUGCUACAGGGUUAUCUCCUAACCUCAGAUGUUGGAUAAGUCCAUGGAAACAGCAGCGCUUCUGGAUGGCUUCAGAAAGGCUGGAGUGAUUGUUUGGACGAGAAAAACCCGCCUAUUCAUUCAAAGGUACAUGAAUGUUGUCGACACUGUCCCAUCUAAAGGUUCAUCCUUAGAAUCCUGCCUUAGACAAAGGAAGCGCUUGGAGUCCCACCACACCUAAAACCACGCUUUGAAGGAUCUGCCAAGCUCACUUUUAAUCAUGAGAAAGAAAUUACCCACAUGGAGACAGCAGAAAAUGAGAAAGUAGAGAUCGUGCUGCGAAUAAUUCCAGCGAGUGCCAAGGGGCUAGUUGAGGAAUGGCUUCAUGAGAUGUUAGUCUAUCUAGAACAACAGAUUUGGAUCUAAGCUGGACCUUUGAGAAAGAAAAGACUUCGAGGAAAAACACCUUUCCAUAUGUUUUAAUUACCUUUCACCUGAAUUGUUUAAUGCACAACAUCCAACUAUAUUCAUCUUUCUUGCUUCAUGUGUAUUUCUUCUUUUGCUUGAACUGCUUUAGAAUUGACUUUUGAGCUACACAGUCAUUCUGGAUUUUUAAAAAGAGAAUUCUAAUAAAAACUUAUAUAUGUUGUUAA
ensembl:lincRNA Rmst rhabdomyosarcoma 2 associated transcript (non-coding RNA)